AAAAAAUUAGUUAAUUUUUAUAACAUUAAAAUGUCAUUUUAAAGUAAUUUAUAUAAAUAUUUUUUA
rnacentral:tRNA from 1 species